rnacentral:lncRNA from 1 species
GAAACUCGCAAAAAGAUAGGUCCGCGAUUCCCUGAGUCGUAUUGAGUCAAAAGCACCGCGUUCUUUCAUUUUAUGUUGAAAGACUCGUUGGUGAUUUAAAGAAAAGCAAUCCAUUCAAGGCAGCUGUCUUCGUCCCAAGACAUUCACCGUUUUCACUGUUUGUUCAACCCUGUACAAUCUGUCGGAAAAGAAAAGCUCUCUACAGCGUUUGUCUAUUUUGUCCAAACAUACGGCGUAUAAAUAUUCUUCAAUUGUGAUAGAUUUUUCAUUGAGGAGACGAGAUUGCGUUGUUAGAGGACCGUUCGACGCGAGUGGAAGAACUGAAUUUACUCCAUAAAUAAUUAUCGACUCAGUCCUCAGAAAGUAAAGUUUCUGUGCCUCGAAGGCUUUUCUCUGGCUUCUGUCGACGUUCUCUGUAAUAUUAUGGUGGAUAGAUAGAUUGUAAGCUUUAAAAAAUGGCAGCAAGAUCUAACUCUUCGUUUCAUGAAUCGACGGGUAUGAACAAUAACUACUUUAAUUCUAAAAAAAUAAGGAAAUAAGUUAAACUAAGUUACUGUGCGUUUUACCUUUUAGUUUUGAUUUAUUUUAUUUUUGAAUAACUUCAAUAUAUAAUGAUAAAUAAUGAAAAGAGCAAAAAUUCAAUUACUAUUACUGUUACAAAUUCAAAAUCACCUACUUUGGGUCUACGAAGUUAGGAUACAAAUUUGAAUGAAAUAUUAAAUAUCAAGUAGAAAGGAAAGAAAAGGAAAGGAAAGUACUACUCUGAUGUCUUUUCUUGCCAUAAAGCACACGGAAGCAGCCUGACUACAUGAAAACAGAAAAAAAAAAUGUGCGUGCUAAUAAUUACUUGAUUUAUGCAAGCUAUGAAUACCAGCAUAUUUUCCUGUUAUUGAAAGCAAGAGUUUGUAUAGCUGAUUGCCUGCUGGUAAAACAGCUACCACUUCGACAUCUAUCUUCUGUAGUGUCGAUACCUUUGUUUGUGUUCAGUGAUUUUUCAGGUUUUUUUUUUUUUCAUUUACGAAUUUCUAUAAAACGGCAGAUGUCUGAGAAAUAAGGGUUAGAAAUCUAGAGAAACUGAUGCUUAUAGUAAAGCCUUUUGAAGGACCAAUGCUUAGAUUCCAUUAUAAGAGAUCGUAUAAUGAUGAUGCUUGGUGUCCUCGCCUCUAGGGGUUUGCAUCAAGGCUCACCAAGUCUGUUUCCUUUGAUAUACAUCUCUUUAUUGUGUAGCACUUCAAUCGAUGGCCGCCAGUUAUCAUUAUGUCAACGCUCAGUUACUAGUUCGAGGUACUUAUAGAAAGUAGGGUUUUAUAGAAUGUUUAAGAAAAGGGACUUUUCCUGCCUGGUGGUAGACGAGACAGUCUCAGCUAUAUUGCUAGAUUUGCUUCUAUACGUGAGGCUUUGAACAAUUUGAUUGUUGUGCAAUAGAAAUUUUAAAGUGCACAUAACAAUGACCUCAGGAUAGGGAUGCUUGCACUAAAACAUCUCAAACAGCGCGUUAAUAAAUAACGAAAACAUGAAAACUGAUUCAUCUUAAGCCCACCUCAAGCGGUGGAUUUAGGAAAACAUGAUUGCGUUCUUAACCCAAAAUCCCUCUAUAUUACGUACAAGGUCUGUAUAAAUUUAGGCCAGUUAUAUAUGAGAUGUGUUUAGUCAGACGAACAUAAUAUCCGUAACUAUUUCUGCGAGGCAAAAAGGUUGAUGUUUUUUACGGAUGUUCAAUCGACUCAUUUCCGAUAGCAUGGCUCAAUUUAGGUCUAAGAGGAGAAACCGCGGUACAGGCGGGCAAAAUUAUCCACUGUAAUUUAUCAAUAUAUUUUCGCGCCCAAAAUAAGCUUAACUAUGGUGGGAGAAUUAACGCGUACGGUGUACUAAACCUUUAAUGAAGAUUAUACUAACUCACUGAUAAUGAUCAUAGCCACCAGGAUAGCCGCAGUAUCUUGAAAUCUAAGAGAAUAUUGGCUAUAUUCUGUAGUAUACUUCUAUACAAUCAUUAUCUUAGGGACCGACGAUUCCAAUUCAAUAGAUCAAAAGGAAGGAAAGAUAAGACAUUUAUACUGUAAUAGAAGACAGGCAAUUGAUUUGAUUGUGUUACGUUUAUACAAAUUUAAAGUAUUUAAAGACCUCAGGAUCGUUUGCUUGAAUUGGUAUAGAAUUGCAGUGGAUGCUUGGUGCAUGAAGUAAGGAAAAUGGGCAUGAAGGGCUGUAGGUAGUUACUUCGUCAAGUUUGUCCCAUAAUGUACUUUACGAUUUGAAUCAAGAAAGAAAGAAAGAAAGAAAGAAAGAAAGAAAGAAAGAAAGAAA